rnacentral:misc_RNA from 1 species
GGAAGAUACCAGGGCUUUUGAUUUUAUCUCGGACCAUGUUGCAGCUGCUCGAGAUCCAAAGCGAGUAGGCUGAAUUUAGGAAGCCAUCUCUCACUAUCAAGGUUCUUACUAGUCAUUGUUCGCAACUUAGAACGAAAACCACAGUUGUUUCCCAUUUGAGACGAACGGCUAUCACAAUGAACACGUUGUUGAGGAAUUGCAUCAAGUCGCGCAUAUGAUAGAUGGGUAAGUCGUUAAGAAGUCGGAAAAAUGAGAAAAUAGAAACAGGGUCCAUUAAGUUGAAGAAGAAUGACUUUCUUUUACUUAAUCAGCUCUAUAUUUGUGGUAAUUCCUGGACUGGUUGUGUUU